rnacentral:rRNA from 1 species
AACGAACGCUGGCGGUGCGUCUUAAGCAUGCAAGUCGAACGGCAAGAAAGUGCUUGCACUUUCCUAGAGUGGCGGACUGGUGAGUAACGCGUGGGUGAUCUACCUUUAAGAUGGGGAUAGCUUUUAGAAAUAAGAGAUAAUACCGAAUGUGCUUACGAUACUAUGGUGUUGUAAGGAAAGGAGCGUUUGCUCCGCUUAAAGAUGAGCCUGCGUCCCAUUAGCUAGUUGGUGAGGUAAAGGCCCACCAAGGCGAUGAUGGGUAUCCGACCUGAGAGGGUGAUCGGACACAUUGGGACUGAGAUACGGCCCACACUCCUACGGGAGGCAGCAGCUGAGAAUCUUCCGCAAUGGACGAAAGUCUGACGGAGCGACACCGCGUGAAUGAUGAAGGCUGAAAAGUUGUAAAAUUCUUUUGCAGACAAAGAAUAAGUGCAGGAGGUAUAAUGCCUGCAUGAUGACGGUAGUUAUGCGAAUAAGCCCCGGCUAAUUACGUGCCAGCAGCCGCGGUAAUACGUAAGGGGCGAGCGUUGUUCGGAAUUAUUGGGCGUAAAGGGCAUGUAGGCGGUUAGGUAAGCCUGGUGUGAAAUCUACGAGCUUAACUCGUAAACUGCAUUGGGUACUGCUUGACUAGAAUCAUAGAGGGGAAACUGGAAUUCCAAGUGUAGGGGUGGAAUCUGUAGAUAUUUGGAAGAACACCGGUGGCGAAGGCGGGUUUCUGGCCGAUGAUUGACGCUGAUAUACGAAGGUGCGGGGAGCAAACAGGAUUAGAUACCCUGGUAGUCCGCACAGUAAACGAUGUACACUAGGUGUCGGGGACAAGAGCUUCGGUGCCGACGCAAACGCAUUAAGUGUACCGCCUGGGAAGUAUGCCCGCAAGGGUGAAACUCAAAGGAAUUGACGGGGGCCCACACAAGCGGUGGAGCAUGUGGUUUAGUUUCGAUGAUACGCGAGAAAACCCUUACCCUGGGGUUUUGAACCUUCAAUGGAGUCAUAGUGG